rnacentral:rRNA from 1 species
UACAGAGGGGGCAAGCGUUAUUCGGAAUUAUUGGGCGUAAAGGGCGCGUAGGCGGCUUGGCAAGUGGAUGGUGAAAUCCCUCGGCUUAACCGAGGAACUGCCGUCCAAACUGCUUGGCUUGAGACCGGGAGAGGUGAGUGGAAUUCCCAGUGUAGCGGUGAAAUGCGUAGAUAUUGGGAGGAACACCUAUGGCGAAGGCAGCUCGCUGGGACGUUACUGACGCUGAGACGCGAAAGCGUGGGGAGCAAACAGG